rnacentral:rRNA from 1 species
CGUCGAGCUACUACGGUAGUGAAGUCAUUGAUGCCAUGCUUCCAGGAAAAGCCUCUAAGCUUCAGAUUGUAAGGAAUCGUACCCCAAACCGACACAGGUGGUCGGGUAGAGAAUACCAAGGCGCUUGAGAGAACUCGGGUGAAGGAACUAGGCAAAAUGGUACCGUAACUUCGGGAGAAGGUACGCUCUUGAUGGUGAAGUCCCUUGCGGAUGGAGCUGACGAGAGUCGCAGAUACCAGGUGGCUGCAACUGUUUAUUAAAAACACAGCACUGUGCAAAAUCGUAAGAUGACGUAUACGGUGUGACGCCUGCCCGGUGCCGGAAGGUUAAUUGAUGGGGUUAGCGUAAGCGAAGCUCUUGAUCGAAGCCCCGGUAAACGGCGGCCGUAACUAUAACGGUCCUAAGGUAGCGAAAUUCCUUGUCGGGUAAGUUCCGACCUGCACGAAUGGCGUAAUGAUGGCCACGCUGUCUCCACCCGAGACUCAGUGAAAUUGAAAUCGCUGUGAAGAUGCAGUGUACCCGCGGCUAGACGGAAAGACCCCGUGAACCUUUACUACAGCUUGGCACUGAACAUUGAACCUACAUGUGUAGGAUAGGUGGGAGGCUUUGAAGACGUGACGCCAGUUGCGUUGGAGCCGUCCUUGAAAUACCACCCUUGUAUGUUUGAUGUUCUAACGUUGGCCCCUAAUCGGGGUUGCGGACAGUGCCUGGUGGGUAGUUUGACUGGGGCGGUCUCCUCCCAAAGAGUAACGGAGGAGCACGAAGGUGGGCUAAUCACGGUUGGACAUCGUGAGGUUAGUGCAAUGGCAUAAGCCCGCUUAACUGCGAGAAUGACGGUUCGAGCAGGUGCGAAAGCAGGUCAUAGUGAUCCGGUGGUUCUGAAUGGAAGGGCCAUCGCUCAACGGAUAAAAGGUACUCCGGGGAUAACAGGCUGAUACCGCCCAAGAGUUCAUAUCGACGGCGGUGUUUGGCACCUCGAUGUCGGCUCAUCACAUCCUGGGGCUGAAGUCGGUCCCAAGGGUAUGGCUGUUCGCCAUUUAAAGUGGUACGCGAGCUGGGUUUAGAACGUCGUGAGACAGUUCGGUCCCUAUCUGCCGUGGGCGUUGGAAGAUUGAAGGGGGCUGCUCCUAGUACGAGAGGACCGGAGUGGACGAACCUCUGGUGUUCGGGUUGUGUCGCCAGACGCAUUGCCCGGUAGCUAAGUUCGGAAUCGAUAACCGCUGAAAGCAUCUAAGCGGGAAGCGAGCCCUGAGAUGAGUCUUCCCUGAUACUUUAAGUAUCCUGAAGGGUUGUUCGAGACUAGAACGUUGAUAGGCAGGGUGUGUAAGCGCUGUGAGGCGUUGAGCUAACCUGUACUAAUUGCCCGUGAGGCUUAACCAUACAACACCCAAAGGGUU